GCAGCACGGUGGCAUAGUGGUUAAUACGGUUGUCUCACAGCAAGAAGUUCGUGGGUUUGAUUCCGACCUGGGGCC